AGUGAACGCUGGCGGCGUGCUUAACACAUGCAAGUCGAACGAGAACGGAUUAUAGCUUGCAAUAAUUGUCAGCUAAGUGGCGCACGGGUGAGUAAUGUAUAGGUAAUAUGCCUCUUACUAAGGGAUAACAAAUGGAAACGUUUGCUAAUACCUUAUACUCCUUAUUAACAGAAGUUAAUAAGGGAAAGAUUUAUUGGUAAGAGAUUAGCCUGUAUUGUAUCAGUUAGUUGGUGGGGUAAUGGCUUACCAAGACUAUGACACAUAACUGGUUUGAGAGGAUGAUCAGUCACACGGGAACUGAGACACGGUCCAGACUCCUACGGGAGGCAGCAGUGGGGAAUAUUGCACAAUGGACGAAGUCUGAUGCAGCAACGCCGCGUGGAGGAUGACACAUUUCGGUGCGUAAACUCCUUUUAUAAGAGAAGAUAAUGACGGUAUUAUAUGAAUAAGCACCGGCUAACUCCGUGCCAGCCGCCGCCGUAA
rnacentral:rRNA from 1 species